UACGUAGGUGGCAAGCGUUGUCCGGAUUUACUGGGCGUAAAGAGCGCGCAGGCGGUCGUUCAAGUCGCGUGUGAAAGCCCCCGGCUCAACUGGGGAGGGUCACGCGAUACUGAUCGACUCGAAGGCAGGAGAGGGAAGUGGAAUUCCCGGUGUAGUGGUGGAAUGCGUAGAUAUCAGGAGGAACACCAAUGGCGAAGGCAGCUCGCUGGGACGGUACUGACGCUGAGACGCGAAAGCGUGGGGAGCAAACAGG
rnacentral:rRNA from 1 species